AGCCUGAAUCAGUAUGUGUGUUAGUGGAAGCGUCUGGAAAGGCGCGCGAUACAGGGUGACAGCCCCGUACACAAAAAUGCACAUAUUGUGAGCUCGAUGAGUAGGGCGGGACACGUGGUAUCCUGUCUGAAUAUGGGGGGACCAUCCUCCAAGGCUAAAUACUCCUGACUGACCGAUAGUGAACCAGUACCGUGAGGGAAAGGCGAAAAGAACCCCGGCGAGGGGAGUGAAAAAGAACCUGAAACCGUGUACGUACAAGCAGUGGGAGCACGCUUAGGCGUGUGACUGCGUACCUUUUGUAUAAUGGGUCAGCGACUUAUAUUCUGUAGCAAGGUUAACCGAAUAGGGGAGCCGAAGGGAAACCGAGUCUUAACUGGGCGUUAAGUUGCAGGGUAUAGACCCGAAACCCGGUGAUCUAGCCAUGGGCAGGUUGAAGGUUGGGUAACACUAACUGGAGGACCGAACCGACUAAUGUUGAAAAAUUAGCGGAUGACUUGUGGCUGGGGGUGAAAGGCCAAUCAAACCGGGAGAUAGCUGGUUCUCCCCGAAAGCUAUUUAGGUAGCGCCUCGUGAAUUCAUCUCCGGGGGUAGAGCACUGUUUCGGCAAGGGGGUCAUCCCGACUUACCAACCCGAUGCAAACUGCGAAUACCGGAGAAUGUUAUCACGGGAGACACACGGCGGGUGCUAACGUCCGUCGUGAAGAGGGAAACAACCCAGACCGCCAGCUAAGGUCCCAAAGUCAUGGUUAAGUGGGAAACGAUGUGGGAAGGCCCAGACAGCCAGGAUGUUGGCUUAGAAGCAGCCAUCAUUUAAAGAAAGCGUAAUAGCUCACUGGUCGAGUCGGCCUGCGCGGAAGAUGUAACGGGGCUAAACCAUG
rnacentral:rRNA from 1 species